rnacentral:misc_RNA from 1 species
CUAUUGAUUUCAGCGAGAGCACGAAGGUGCAGCGGCGACAUUGGUGCAAACUAGGAUAGAGCAAGAACACAAUACGAACAGCUUGACGACACACUCUUCUCUGAGGCGCAUCUGCAGUCGCUUGUACGCGCGUGUACCUACGCCUUUUCCUGUCUACCUCUACUCUGUUUCUAUUUUUGAUAUCUGCCUUUACUUUCGCUCUUCGUUUCCUGUGCGUCUUUUUUUUUCAGUUCGCGUGUUGCUUUCCUUUCCUUUCCUUGUGUCGUCAUUUAUUUAUUUGGCAUCCUUUGUGUGCGCAUAAACCGCUCCCACGCACCGUGAGCGUGCGCGUCCCUUUUUCGGUUUGCCGGCCGGCUUCCGCAUGUAUUUAACCUCACUCGCGACCACGCACGGCAAACAGAAUAAACAGCCGCGUUUGUGCUCAAAAAACGUCGCCACACUGGAACGUGUCCUCUUUUCUCAAACGAGGCUCGAGUUUAUGCGUAGGUCGGAGGAUGGGAAGGUAGAUGUAGCCGUGCGGCGCUGUCGGGCGUGGAGCGCGCCUGCGGCACCGCUUAGCCACAUCUGCGGAAGCCACAAUGGCUCCUCCGUGCGGGGUGCCGCGGGAGCCAUUGCAGGCGACCACACACACCUUCCACUGCCGCCUACCAUUUAUCGCCUUUUCCCUACAAAGACAGUAUUCGCUUCGUUGGACAUUCCGUUUACCCCAUCGCUGGGGGCCCCCUGCAAUGGGGGGCGACGGGCACCACGCUCCCCACCGGCGGAGACGGAGACGCUCGAAGCUCUCAAGGCUGAGCUGCUGGCCGCAAAGCAUCAGAUAAGGCUGCUCAACACGGCAAGCGCACAAUCUUUUCACAGCUACGCAGCACUGGAGGCCGAGAACGCAGAACUGAGGGAUGCCAGCCGGCGCCUGCGCGAGGCCAAUGACGAGCUGAAGGCGCGCCUCGCACAGCGCAACGAUGAGGUGAAUGAGCAGCUGCAUCUCAUCUGCGACUUGGAAAAGAAGCUCGAAGAGUUUAGCUGCUUCAACACGGCAGCACACUUAUCGGCACGCAAAUCUCUUAAUGGAGGUUCGAAGUGACGUACGCGCGACGUGUGAGCACCUCGCACAGCUGCUGUGUGUAUGCGUGUGUGCGGGCAGGGCUUCGUUGUCUAGGGUGUCUUCGGGUGAAAAGUAAGACGAAUGUGAUGGGACGGCAAUCUUUCACCUCUCUGCACGCGUGUGGAAACUGCCUUUGGGUCAAUGUCCGGGUUUUCUCUUUUGCGGCUGCAUCCUGUAUUACUUGCAGGAUCGCCAUCCGCUCCCUCUCUCUCGCCGCCUGUUUGUGUAUGUGUGCGUGUGUGUGCGUAUGUGUAUGUGUAUACGUCUGUGUGCGCGUGCAUGCAUGUGUGUGGUUCAGUGGCACAGAACAACAGAACAGAAAUGUUGCCCACCACAAAGAAUUGUGUGCUGUCACGGAUGCAG